GAACUCGUAUAACUAUACUCAAUGUAAUCAAGUUGCAUAAUAUAAUUGAAAUAAAUUAAUGUGAAUAGCAAAGUAGAAAUACAAUUACUCAAUGAUUCAUACGUAGGGAAAUAGCGUGAAAAAUAAUUUUGAAAUUGGACUCAUAUAUUUCUUGUGACCCAUAGAAUUCAAGACAUAGAUAUUACAUUUAAAACUCAGGAAUGAAUAAAUAAAAACCUCUUUUAUACAUAAUCGAUUUGCAUAUAGUAAAAGAAUGAAAAAAAAGAAAAGAUAUAUAACUCAAU
rnacentral:lncRNA from 1 species